rnacentral:rRNA from 1 species
UACGUAGGGUGCGAGCGUUGUCCGGAAUUAUUGGGCGUAAAGAGCUCGUAGGCGGCUUGUCACGUCGGGUGUGAAAGCCCGGGGCUUAACCCCGGGUCUGCAUUCGAUACGGGCUAGCUAGAGUGUGGUAGGGGAGAUCGGAAUUCCUGGUGUAGCGGUGAAAUGCGCAGAUAUCAGGAGGAACACCGGUGGCGAAGGCGGCCCCCUGGACCGGUACUGACGCUGAUGCGCGAAAGCGUGGGUAGCAAACGGG